rnacentral:misc_RNA from 1 species
GAUGAAGAACGUAGCGAAAUGCGAUAAGUAAUGUGAAUUGCAGAAUUCAGUGAAUCAUCGAAUCUUUGAACGCACAUUGCGCCCAUUAGUAUUCUAGUGGGCAUGCCUGUUCGGGCGUCAUUAAUUCCACUUAAGCCCUGCUUAGUGUUGGGAAUCUACUCUAGUGGUGCUACCCUGGAGCUACCCCUGAAAGGGGGCUGGCCCGGUAGCUACCCUGUAGUUCCUCAAAGAUAGUGCGCGGAGUUGCGUGGUCCUCUGAGCUUAGUAACUAUACACCUAGCUUUUGAGUGUCCCGCGGCGCCUGCCGUUUAAACCCCAUCUUUUAAUGGUUGACCUCGGAUCAGGUAGGAAUACCCGCUGAACUUAAGCAUAUCAAUAAGCGGAGGA